AUUGAACGCUGGCGGCAGGCCUAACACAUGCAAGUCGAACGAGUGGCAGACGGGUGAGUAAUGUCUGGGAAACUGCCCGAGGGAGGGGGAUAACGACUGGAAACGGUAGCUAAUACCGCAUACCAUCGGAUGUGCCCAGAUUGGAUUAGCUAGUAGGUGGGGUAACGGCUAACCUAGGCGACGAUCCCUAGCUGGUCUGAGAGGAUGAACAGCCACACUGGAACUGAGACACGGUCCAGACUCCUACGGGAGGCAGCAGUGGGGAAUAUUGCACAAGGGGCGCAAGCCUGAUGCAGCCAUGCCGCGUGUAUGAAGAAGGCCUUCGGGUUGUAAAGUACUUUCAGCGAGGAGGCGUUACUCGCAGAAGAAGCACCGGCUAACUCCGUGCCAGCAGCCGCGGUAAUAC
rnacentral:rRNA from 1 species